rnacentral:tmRNA from 1 species
GGGGGCGUAAAGGUUUCGACGGGGAUUCUGAAGUCCGAUAAGCGAGCAGAGCCGGUAUAAUCUCUUUAAACUGUACCGUACGUUUAAAUAUAAACGCUAGAAAAAAUAUUUCUGUAAGAACUAACUUACAGGUAGCAGCCUAAGUCUGCUUCCGUCUGCUGACAGAGUACCGCGACUGUCUGUCAGGCGUCGAUUAGCGGUGAACGUCUUGCCGGAGUGUCCGUGCCGGUAAGUUGUAUACGGACUACUUGCUUUUACAGCCUGUCUGUCGGCGGUAAUUACAGGGAACUUUAAUAGACUGAAUACGCUCGUAGAAAGUUGUAUGAAUGAGUUUUCGGACAGGAGUUCAAUUCUCCUCGCCUCCACCA